UUUGAAGAAAAAAAAUGGAAGCAUACUCUUGAAGUGGGAAUGGUGUGAAGCCACAGCAGCUGUACACGUCGGAUCAGUAUUCAAUACUCUCACCUGCGUAGAAACAACUACACUACAAACUACAAACCCUGGUAGGCUGUGUUGUGUGCACAUGUGCUUCACUCAAUGGCAAUCGCUGGUUUAAAAUUCGUCCUCAAACCCAAUCUCCAUUUUCUUCCCACUCCUUUCCAAUGUCUUCGCAAGGUUGUUCCAAGAUUUGUCGCUACGGUUCAGAUUGAACCCUUCGCUAACGAACAAUGUAGCCCCUCAUUAAAUGAUGAAGAGGAUAAAAAGCCCUCUGCAUGGAAGAGAUUGAAUUCUAAAGAACUUGGGAUUCGAAAUUCAAUUAUUGGAAUGACUACUAAAAAAGUUCUUAACGGGCUCAAGAAGAGAGAAUUCCUUUGUUGCAGAAUUGGGUCUAUUCCGUU
rnacentral:lncRNA from 1 species